AGGUUGGGGGUUGCAGGUCAUUUAACUGUGAAUAUUGAUGGCUCCUGAUGUGGUCCCUUAUGAAACAUAAGUCUUAGAUUUGGAGAAAAGAAAAAAGCAAGGAAGCAAGGACUGUUGCAGUCUUCAUGAUAUAGGUAUCAUGAUAUAGGUACCUCACAGGACCAAAGUUAAAUGGGAACAUGUAUGUAACCCAUAUGUCCCUCAUACAUUUUCCACAUCAAUUUUAAAGAUGUUCACUCUUCAGGGUGAGGCUCUCAGGCCACAGAAGUUGAACAACUUGCUCCAAAUCAGAUUCUAACUGAAAUUAUAUCCAAGCAGGCUGGUCUCUGAACCCAUACACCAUCGCCCCCACAUGCCCACUUGGCCUAAGAUUUUUAAGCACAGAAGAAAAACUGAAUUGCUUCCCAUUACACGGGCCAUAGAAAUCUGUGGGAUAAAAACCAAGAGCCAAAAAUAGGAUAUCAAAGACAACAUGUAUCGAGUGUUUAUACUUCCUGGAAGGCAAACAGCCAAUGCUAAUUCCCCGAGAUGACUGUUCAGAGUGUGGGGCCUUUGGGAGGUGAUGGGGUCCUGGGGGACAGAAUGUUUCAUUCAUGCGUUCCACCUCAUGAAGAAAGCAAGAAGAUAUCCCAUGAACCAGGAAGCCGGCCUCUCGAGACAUUGGACCAGGUGGUGCCUUGAUCUAAGGCUGGACCAGGUGGUGCCCCGAUCUAAGGCUGGACCAGGCGGUGCCCCGAUCUAAGGCUGGACCAGGCGGUGCCCCGAUCUAAGGCUGGACCAGGCGGUGCCCCGAUCUAAGGCUGGACCAGGUGGUACCCUAAUCUAAGACUUUCAGCCUCCAGAACUGUGAUAAGCAGGUGUGUGCCUUUUACACAGCAACCUUGUCUGUGCAAGUUCACCACAGCCAGCUGAGUGAACUAAGACGGGUGUCAAAACAACAGUGGGACGAGAAUAUUCUUUUCACCAGGCAGCUCUGGAACAGCUAGAAAAGCAUGUGUGAGAAAAAAAAAGUUGUAUCCGAACCUCACAUCACAACUUUAUUAAAAAUAAAUAAAGAAAACAACAACAACAAAUGAACAAACAAAACCCCUUAAGCUUGUGUGUUAGAGCCAUGGAACUCAGAACACAGCACAAGAGCUGCCCCUGGUGGACGGAGGUUAAACAGGAGUUUUGAGACAUGGCACACUCCAGGACAAGUGAAUUAGCCUUAAGCAGAUUCAAAACUCUUGUGUUGCAAACACACCAUGAAUAAAGCAAAAAAGAAAACCCACAAAAUGAAAGAAAAUAUCUGAAAACCCUAUAAAUAUUGAGGAGCUUAUAUCCCAAAUAUUUAAGUAUUUACAGCUCAAUAACAAGAGACGAUCAUUUUCAAAUGGACAGAAGGUUGAAGUCAUUUCUCCAGAGAUGAGAAGCCAGUCUCCAAUAAGCAUACAAGAAGGCAGUCACAAGUAGUCGUGGUGGAGAUGCACACUACAGCUGCAACACAGUACCUCACUCUAGGGCACCUGCAGUGCAAAGGGCGCACACUAACCACUGCUACUAGGGUAUAAAGAAAUCCAGCUCCAUCUCUUACUAACAUAAAUGGAAGUGGGAGCCACAGAAAGCAACCUGGAGACUGAUCAAUAAAGCAGACCUGCACCGCGACCCCAACCAUUCCUCUCCUGGCUAUAUAGCCAAGAAUAAUUAAAGCAUGUACAGGAUACUUAGACCAGCACUCCAGAUAUCAGGGAAAAAAAAAGAAAAACACAGAAAUCAUCCACCGGCUGGUGAGUGAGUAAACAAACAAGAAUCAGUACCAAAAAGAAGCAAAUAUGAAUGCAGCUUAAAGAGUGAAUGAACUGUGUGAUCCUUUCCUAGUGAGAGAAGACAGGGCCUACAACCAUUUAUUAUGGGGUUCACCCAAUACAGAACACUCAACAUGUGUUACUCUGCAGAUACAGGAAGUAGAUUCACCUGCCGGUGCUGGUAGUCUAGAAACACAGCAGCAGCUCAUAAUGCAUCUCAGGUCUCUUUUGAAAUUAUCUAAAACAGUGAUCAAAGUCAUCAUUUGAUGAUGCAGCACAGUGUUUUCAAUAUACUGAAAAGCAAUGAAUUUGAUGUUGGAAA